AUACGUAGGGUGCAAGCGUUAAUCGGAAUUACUGGGCGUAAAGCGUGCGCAGGCGGUUCGGAAAGAAGGAUGUGAAAUCCCAGGGCUCAACCUUGGAACUGCAUUCUUAACUACCGAACUAGAGUAUGUCAGAGGGGGGUAGAAUUCCGCGUGUAGCAGUGAAAGGCGUAGAUAUGCGGAGGAAUACCGAUGGCGAAGGCAGCCCCCUGGGAUAAUACUGACGCUCAUGCACGAAAGCGUGGGAAGCAAACAGGAUUAGAUACCCUGGUAGUCCACGCCCUAAACGAUGUCAACUAGCUGUUGGGCCCUUCGGGGCUUAGUAGCGUAGCUAACGCGUGAAGUUGACCGCCUGGGGAGUACGGUCGCAAGAUUAAAACUUAAAGGAAUUGACGGGG
rnacentral:rRNA from 1 species